UACGAAGGGGGCUAGCGUUGUUCGGAAUUACUGGGCGUAAAGAGCGCGCAGGCGGUCGUUCAAGUCGCGUGUGAAAGCCCCCGGCUCAACUGGGGAGGGUCACGCGAUACUGAUCGACUCGAAGGCAGGAGAGGGAAGUGGAAUUCCUGGUGUAGCGGUGAAAUGCGCAGAUAUCAGGAGGAACACCAGCGGCGAAGGCGGCGCUCUGGGCCGGUACUGACACUGAGGAGCGAAAGCGUGGGUAGCAAACAGG
rnacentral:rRNA from 1 species